ensembl:miRNA
AUCAGGUUGGUGCAAAAAUAAUUGUGGUUUUUGCCAUUACUUUCGAUGGCAAAAACCACAAUUACUUUUGCAGCAACCUA